rnacentral:lncRNA from 1 species
UUGACACUUCCUCUACUGGUUUCACUGGGUCAGAGAUACACUUUGCAAUGAACAGGCAGGAGGUUUUCCUCCCUUUUGAAGAGGAAGUCUGGGAAAAAGAAGCCCUGCCUUCUCCAGGCCCCCGGGAAGCACAUGAGUGGUGCGCUGGUCCCAGCUUGCCUAAGCCUUGGCAUGGUGGCAUAUGUGCCAGCAGUUCCAGAGCCACCCCACCUUGGUGUCUUUGGAAGAAACGUGCGUGUUUUGGGCCACCCCUGCAGUCACUGCAGGGCAGCAACUCCAGACCCUCCAAGGGGCUGGUCUCAUCCAGGGCAGAUGCCAUCAUCUGGGGGUCCUGCAGCCACCAACUCAGGGCUGAGCAGCAACCAGCAGCAGCCUCAGCUCAGCAGAAGUCUGUCAGAACAUAUGGCUAAUCUGGUGUAUGCACACAUGCUACCAGGACCAAUGUGGUUUCUGAACAAGCCCAGGUUUAUCACCAGCAUUGGGAUGUCCUUCCCCAGCAGUACCUGAGGAGUCUGUGCAGAAGCUGCAGCAGCACCAGGAUGGAACACGCUGGAGAGGCAUGGCUUGCUUCUCUUCCCACAGCUCCAGACGACAAAAAUAAAUGGUGACAAUUCUCCUGUUGUUUUAUUCCA